UCAGCUUGGAGGAAGAAAGUUCUGAACCCCUUGGAGCCUCCUGCAGUUAUGUUCUCAGUGUGCCACCAAGGAAGAAUUGUAGACAAGCGGGCAGGCACCAGGUGACAGAAGCUGUUGUGGCUGUUGUCUUACAGAUGUGUCUACAGGGAGGACUUCUCCAGCUUCUCCAGCUCCUACCUUGGAUGCUAUACGCAAGCCCAGCUCCCAUCACAGUGGUACUCCAACAGGGAAAGUCCAAGAUAGAACAGAUAAGAUGUCCCUGCAACCAUCCAAACAGAUGAGGCAAGAGCUGAAGGAACCCCUGCAGACAAGGCAAGAGAUGGGCAUAGUGCUUCAGUGGAAGGUGGCAUUUCUUGAAGGAAGCACUCCAUCUUCGGUGCCAGCCCCUGCUGCAGGAAGGAAGGCGAUGGCAGACACGGGCACAGGCACAGCAG